UCGGUUAUUAUGUAACUUCAUUACAUCAGCGGUCUUCAGUCGGCGAUAGUGAGAGGAGAUGAUCUCUUAGUGUAUCAAUCACCGAUUUAACUUUUGAAUGCUUGUGACAGCUGGAGAGGAAGGAGGGCACAUAGAUUAGCUUCAGGGCUCGGGUAAACCCUGAUCUCUUCCUGGCCAAUUUAAUGUGAGUUUUCUCACAGUGAGUUCUCUGGGACAGCAGAUCACAAAAGCUCCGGGGCUGCACUGUGGCCAUUUCAGCCACACCCGUGGACAGUCAGAAAGCAUUCUGCAAUGUUGUCCCGCAAGUCUCUUUGCCUUGUUGGGACUGGGUACUCCCCACCAAGGUCAUGGUUCUCUACCCUGUGAUCUAAAUAUACGAUUAUCACACAGCAGAGGCAUAACUCAGAUUGAAAUGAAAACUGCAAAGAAUCAUUUCCUGAUGACCCUUCUAGCAGUUUUAAAAGACUUGUAGAACUCCAUUAUAGCAUUGCCACACACAGUGUCACAUCCUAUACAGUAGGUAAGUAAUUUUAUUUUUAAUUUCCUGUUCAAAAUCGAUGUAGGUGGUGUGGUAGAUGAGUGACUGCUGCUGGAACAGCCUGUGCAUUAGGGGAAGCUAUUUAUACAUCCUCUAUAUUUGCAACCUUAUAAAAGGAAUUACAAUUUCCUUUUGCCAUGUUUAAAUUUAACAUUAAUUUCUUAAUGCUAUAAAUUGUGAAGGUGUGGCAUAAUAUUCUAAGCAUCUACCUUGGAAUUCCCUAUUUUCUGAAACCAGAUAUUUUAAUUCUAGUAGGGAUGACUCAUACCUUAAUAGUUUAGAAUUUCUAAUAAGAUGAAAAGACUACCUUCUACAGGCAGCAAAGCAUUAUGGAUAGAGUCACUGAAUGGAAUUUAGAAUAACCUAUGAUCAAAUCCCACAUUUAGCACUACUUAUUAGCUAUCUGACUAAUCACCUAACUUUUAUCAGGCAACUUCUUCUUAUAUAAAAUAGGUAUAAAGCAAAUCUGUAGCAAUGAUUUCAUAAGGUUGUUAUUUGGAUCAAUUAAUUUAUCUAAAAUGAUCAUCAGACUUUCAGAAUGUUAAAUAUUAUUAGUUUAUAAACAUAUCCUAGUUUUGCUUUAGAUACCAUUUAUUAGAUACUAGUUACUAAAUAUUAUAUAAUAAUAGAUAGUACUAGUCUUUAGAUAUUCACUAUAUAUUAAAUAUUAACUUUGUGUUAUUAAUUUUUUGUGUUUGUACCUGACAUUUUUAAGUGUCUUAUGGAAAUUAUCAGCCAUCUCAUGUAAUAUUGCAAAGACUACCAAAUUUGAAAUUAGAGAACAUAGGUGCUAAUUCUGCCUUCAUCACUUGAGUUCAUAUGACUGCUCUGCUACCUGUAUGAAUUUUUUUGAUUCUCAGAUUCUUCAUCUGUACAAUGAAGGAGCUGAAUUAUAUGGCAUCUGAGGUGCUUUCUAGUUCUAAAUCUAUGACAUUCUAUCUUCAGGAUGGUCAAUCAUAAACUAAAUUUGUAAGGACUAGUUUAUCAUCUUGAUCUAUAUGACUACUGAAGGUAGCAAAGAGAAUGCCAGAUUUAGGAUAUAGAUGUUAAAUGUGAAUUAACUUCUCCAACAAAAAAGUUCCAGAAAUUAUUCAAUGAACUCCACCCUCCCACCAUUGUCAUCAUCUUGAUUAUCAGAGUGGUACAAUAGGAAAAAAAUAAAAACAAGCAAACAAACAAACAAAAAAACAUUGAAUUUGGAAUUUGGAAGUGAAGCAGUAGAUUAGAAAUUAGAAGAUAUGAAUUCUAGUCCUGGCUUCACUAUUUAUGAAGUUGUUUAAUUCAAUCAAACCUUCAUUAUCAUCAUAUCACAUGUGUAACCACUGACACAAUCAUGUGGUUCUGGAUCCUGAGUAGUCAACUAAGUAUGUGCAUGAAACACAAGUAAAAUCUUAAGCUAAAAAAUAUUAUUUCUUUCAGCCCUUUCAUGAAUUAUCUUUCAUUAUUCCCUAAGGAACUGAUCAUAUUUUAUAAUGAAACUUUCUAUUUCCUCAUAGCUGUGGUCUUCCUUGGAAAUUUCUUUUUACUGAAACCAAUUUCAGCUAUAUGAUAUUUUAUUGCACUUGGUAAUGCAAAUGGACAUGUAAUUUCUACAGAAAUAUUUUGUCAGAAUGCUAUAACUUUGCUGCAAAAUUCUGUGCUCUAGUGAAAAUCAAUGCAACAACAAUUUAAUUCAGCAUAAAUAUUUAUUUAGAGUCUAAUAUGUUUCUAACAGCAUGCUAGAUGGUCCAGGAGGCAAAGGAAUUUAAAGCCAGAGUGUAUUUCAUAAGACUUUAUCAUCCACUUGUGGAAUGAAAGUCAAAUAUAUGCUAUAUUAUAAAAAGAAGACAAGCUAAUUACAAGACGUCUGAGAAGAAAUGGUAAGAGGAGUAGGUGGGGAACCAGAAGAUCAGUGUUACUGAAAUUAAAUAUGGAGUUUUAAAGAACUAACAAUGUUAUUUAAAAAAUAAUCAAAAUCAUUUGAAGUGAAACUUGGGAAAGAAAGGUGAAAAUGUUGCUAUUUCUCCUUGCCCUUGACACAUAUCCCUUGAAUCUUUUACUUUUUUUUUCUUCUGUAAUGAAAAGAAUAUUGUACAUGCAGAGAAUAGCUAGCAUUUAUACAAUACUUUGAGAUUUUCAAAGAAGACUAUAUAUGCUAUUUCAUUUUGUUCUCAUAAUAAUCCUAGGAAGGGAAUGUGACUAUUAUCUCCAUUUACUGAGGGGAAACUGAGUCAGAUAUUAAAUGACUAAGCAGGGUCACAUUCUAGUAAGUAUGUGAGGCUCAAUUUCAACUCAGGUCUUCCUGAUUCCAAGUCUAGCCCUCUUGUCUAAUGUACUACAUAAUUGUAAAGCAAAAAUAAAGAAAAAAAAUAAAGAAAAAUCUGAUUCCCCCUUUUCAGGAACUUAGGUUUUAUGUAUUCUCAAUACAGGUGAACACUUUCAAAGCAAGUGUAUAAGCAAAUAUAUAUUAUUAAAUGCUUAAAUACAUACAAUUUGUGAGAAUUUGUAGGUAGCAUAUAAGACAAAGCCCUUUAUGUAUAUUUGUUACAUCCCAAUUAUAUGUCAUUGGCUGCAAUUGUUUGACAUCAUCAAAUAUUGUCAAAAAAAGUAAGUGAUUUAAGUGUCAAUCAGUAAGCACGUAACCUCAUACAAAGAAAAGUAUAUGGAAACUUUCUGUAAUGAGACCUUCCAAAGCAAAAAGAAAAGCUAAUUAUGGUUUGUGGCUAGUUUAGAAAAGGCCUUACAUGGAUGAUUAGCUUUAAAGUUGGGCAGUGGAGGAAGAAAAGGCUCUGGAUUAGCAAGCUUGAUGGAAGACAAAAUUUCAAAUGGAAGCAACAGAGAUGGAGAAGUGAACAGGGAAUUAUCCAUGGAUAAACUAUUUUUAAGAAUAGUUGAAGGUCAGUUUUGAUAGGUAAAGGAGGGUCAUGUGAUAUGGCAUUAACCACUAGACUGAGAUGUUUAUAAUUUGUUUUAUGAAUUCUAGGAAAUCUCUAGAGUUGGAAACUUUUUUUUUUAUAUCAUACAUCAACAUCAACAGUCUAGUGAAGACUGUAGAGGACCCUUUCUCAGAAUAAUGUUUUGAAAUAUAUAAAAUAAAAUAACAGGAUUACCAUGGAAAGAAACACUUUUAAAUGAUAUACAGUGAUAUCAAGUUCACUGCUCUAAAGUCUACCAACAAGUUUAUAGGUUCCUGAACAGAUAAGUAGUUAAAUGAAACCACUUAAUUAUAGAAUUAAAGAGUCACAGAAUUGUAGAAUCAUAGAAUCUAUGUGUGUAAACUGACUUUAAUCAUCAUUAGGUCAUCAAUGCUAUAAUUAAUAGGUGAAGAAUCUUAGGGCCAGAAAAGGGAACCGAGUUGUCCAAUGUCAUAUAGAGCCAGAAUUAAAACCUAAGUCAUAAGUCCUUGAAUCAAGUUUUUUUUUUUUUUUUUUUUUUUUUAAAUAACACCAAAGUAUUUCAGAAGCAUUAACUUGGCUUCUGUAUUGUAAGAAAAAAAUAGAGAUAAGUAGAUGAAAAGUUGUAAAGCAAAAUAAAUCAUAAUAAUGGCUUAGCUUUCAAUUAUUUUUUAUUUAGGAAGAAUAUUUUAUCCAUUUGUCAAUUUAAAAAGAUGAUUUAAAAUCAUAGACUUUUAUAAUUAUCCAUUCCAAUUCUACUUACUCUCAUAUUCUUUUUUUUUUUAAGUUUAGAUUUAUUCAUUCAAAAAUUUAUAGGUUUCUAUUUAAUAUUGUAUUCAGUAUUCAGGAGUUUGUAGCAUUUGUCUUUUCCUUUAAACUAAAGACACAUGUUUCCAUUGCUUUAAGUAAAAGAAUCAGAGGUAAAAAUUCAAUUGAAGUGGGUUUUUUUGUAGCAAAACUUUGAAAAAGAAUAGAAUGACUCCCUCCAUUGAUUUAUUUUUCAUUGAAUACAUUAAUAAUAGUAAGUACUUAAUAAAUAUGCUUAUUGGGUACGGGUUUAUAAAGUACUAUAUAAAUGUUACAUAACAUAUCCUUAUUUUUUUCUUUAAAAUGUAAAAUGAUUAUAAAUAUGUAUACAUAUAUUGGAUUUAACAUAUUUUUAACAUGUUUAACAUAUAUUGGAUUACUUGCCAUCU
ensembl:lncRNA